GCCGGUACGGUUAAGUUUCGGCUUCCUGCUCGGGAAAAUCUGAAUGAUGUUUGAAACCGAGUUUAAUGGUGUUCUCUGAUGGAAUUUAUUUGGUUCAUUCCAAUUUUUCAUGUGGCAGGACGUGAUCCAUCGUGCUUCCGGUGGGUGCCGUCGGUGCUUAUAGUUUUGCUUUCUUGCGUCUGAUUUGAUUACCGAAUUUUUCCGUGUCAAGUCUGAUUGGGAUUUAUGAAGUGGCUUUGCUGAUGAAGUGUUCCUAGGUAUCGUUUGCUUGUAUUGCCUUGGAAUCAGGUGAAAGUGUUUAAUAAGCUUGAGGUUUGCUGAAGAAUAAUUGAAUAAAAGUGCGCACCAGUUGAAUAAAUUUUGUCACGUCCUGAAAGAGGGGGUGUAAAAUCACAAUGGAUCUUUAAUGGAAAAUCACUCCAGACUCCAAAUCAGCAGACAUUGAUAAGCAUUGGCGUGUACACUUUGAAGGAUUAGAUCGAACAGUGGUCACGUCGCAGAUGCAUUCGGUUCCAUCUGGUACUGCGAAACAUCUACAAAUUUAUAUUUUCGCAUAAGAUGAUAAAGGAAGAAUCAUAUUCCAUCCCAGUUGGAUCAUCAAUUGGAACGUGUUCUGGAUCAGUGUGAUUUUUAGGGCGGAGGGAAAUUAUUUACGACCGAGCAAUUUUCAGUUUUAUGAAGUGAAGUGAAAUGUAAUCCUAUUGUUGUUGAUUCAGAUAAUGGUGGUACAGCUCUUGUGGAGGCUGUUUUCGUGAAUAAAAAAAUUGAAUAACGACCAAAGUAGUUAAUCCCACAGGACCGGUCCACAUUUUUUGUUUGGCUUUGUAGUAGAAAAAAAACACUGCCCCCGGAACCGACAACGGUCGUCAUUGAACUUUUGGAGUGUUUUGAUGGCUAAAUGACAUCACCGCCUGACGGAUGCCACAGCAUGGUCUAUCGUGUCGUAUCGCAGCCGCUAAUGUUGGACCGGUUAGUGGCUGUUUUCAUGCUGAUAAAACAAGAAAAAUAAAAUUAGAACACUUAAUCAAAGCCAUAAAAAAACGAUAAGCGAACGUAAAACUACAGCCUCAGUAGUCGCUAAGCCAGUAGACCAACGGACCAUGGACGUCGUUCUAUCCCGGCUGAAUCUCAGCCUGGAUAAUGUAACGUUCAGCACCAGCACCAUCCGGCAGGGGUUGAUCGAGCAGUACAGUAACAACAGGAAAGUGGACGACCCGGCAUAUCACAUACUGAUUGUCCUUUACAGCACGCUAAUCAUAUUCGGUGCUACCGGGAACAGUCUGGUGGUGAUGGCGGUUGCCAGGAAGCCACAGAUGCGAACGGCACGCAACAUGUUCAUCGUUAAUCUGGCGGUUUCGGAUUUGCUGCUCUGUCUGGUGACGAUGCCGCUGACGCUGGUGGAAAUUCUCACCAAGUACUGGCCGAUGGGUCGGUUGCCGUUCCUGUGCAAAUCGAUCGGAACCCUGCAGGCCACCAGCAUAUUCGUGUCGACCAUUUCCAUUACGGCCAUUGCGUUGGACCGGUACCAAGUGAUCGUCUAUCCAACACGCGAUAAUCUCCAACUGAUGGGUGCCAUUGUGAUACUGACGGGCAUCUGGAUAUUUUCGCUAAUUCUGGCAUCGCCGAUGUUCAUCACCCGGCGGCUGAUUCACUACGACGUGAAUUUGCCGAGCCUCGGCAUCGAAUAUAUCUCGUACUGCAUCGAAGACUGGCCCAUGGUGCACGGCCGAAUAUACUAUUCGGUGUUUACGCUAUGUGUCCAGUAUUUACUACCCAUCCUGAUAGUGUCGGUGGCGUAUCUGCGAAUAUUUUUCAAACUGAAGCAUCGUCUCGUCGUAACAACCACAACGGUUAGCUCCAGCGCCAGUACGAAAAGUGGUCAGCCAAUGAGGGAAAGGGAGCGAGGCCGUCGCAUGCAGCGGACCAAUUAUCUACUUAUAAGUAUAGCCUUAAUCUUUGGAAUAUCGUGGCUUCCGUUGAACUUGUUCAAUCUGUUCGCCGAUCUGUAUCUGGACGGUAUCACGCAGGAGAUCAUGGUCGCGUACGCAAUCUGCCAUAUGAUGGGCAUGAGUUCGGCCUGUUCCAAUCCGUUGCUGUACGGUUGGCUGAAUGACAACUUUCGCAAGGAAUUCAACGAACUGCUAUGCCGGAAGGACACGAACGCGGUCUCGUCGAACGGCGAUGGAAAGACUGUGUCACGAAAGAUUCGAACUACGGCCGCCGCACCGGAAGUAACGCAGGUGGGCGAAAGGUGUCGAACCGCUAGUGACCAAACCGAGCUCACCGAGCUAAUGCCAUAAAUUCGACACACGUUUAAUCCCAACAACAACAACAACAAUAAAAAUCAUUAUCACUGCAGCUACUAAACAGUGAGCACAUUCUGCUCGAGGUGUGCAACUAGUUACCACUUUGAUCGCACUGAAGAAAAUCGCACAGCACAACACAGUAAAAUUAGCCACUUCACUCACACAUAUUUACACGCGGUAAAUACCCUUGCACUUCCUAUGAUGAAUCCAGUGUGGGAGCAGCGCAUGAGUGAAGCGGACCAGCAGGAUCGAACGAAGCUUUGUGCCAGUGAAGAGAGUGUUUAGUAGAAAAAAAAAGUUGUAUGGCGUACCGAUUCCCCCUACUUGUAAGUUGCAGCAAAAUAAAAAGAUAGUUGGUAACUUUCUGAGAGCUUUUUAUCGGUAACAGCGCUUGUCUUAGACAGUGUGCAGGUUUUGUUAUGGCCAGUGGUCAGUACGCUGCCAGUGGCAGAAAAGUACAUUUAGAUAUAAGAUGUGAGCUUUUGUGCAGUGCGCCUGCAGGUAGGUAUUCCACAGAUCUUUUGGAGCGAAGUUUAUGUUAUCUGAAUAGUUCAUAGUAAUUUUAAAUCAAAUUAAACCAAACGCAGCUAGGCUAGGCAAAUUGUUUUCAAGAAAAAAAUAAAAACUACUUGCAAACAGUAUCGAAUAUCGGUAGUUUUGAAAUGUAGCUCGAAAAGGAUGUUUUGCAAAGGCAUAUUUUUUUCUCUUGUUAAUUAGGAAUAUACUCGGAGAUCGUAGAACAGUGGAAACAUACUUGUUUGUUAGUUUGGCAGAAUCUUUUUUGGAAAUAAUGAAAACUAUAAUUAAUUGAUUGUCGGAUCUCUGGAAAGAGUAAGCUGACAAUCAAGGAAGCAAUAAUCUAUGGACUGGCAGAAAAAAACUUGUUCCGUACACUGUCCUGACAGUAGAAUAUUUUUUCCGUACAUUGAGAUUGCUGGUGUGCUAAGAUUUUUUUGUCAACAUUGAUAAGUUUUGGAAGCGAAAAUAGUAUGCUUUGUUUUGAAAUAAAUAAACAAAGACUAUGAGAAAGCAUGGUUAUAUAAUACUGAAUCGGAGUACAAACACUUUAUCUAAUUUUGACAUUAUUAAUAUGGAGAGUUGUGUUAGAUUCCGGAACAGAUUAUUCGUGAAAUUUAAAAAAUAGCUUCAAAUUAAAGAACACGCUCACUUGUAAUUGUGGCUAUGAAAAUAGUUUCGAAAGAGAGGUAAUUUUUAGUUGUAAAAGCUAUAGUCAAUUUAAAAGGCUGUGUUAGAACGAAAUACGUUAAAGUACUCGUAUGAUUACAAUUUGCCAAGUCUAGCCCAUAUACGCCACAACACACACAUACAUACAUACUAUCGAAUGAAGUUGCAAAACAGGGAAAUUGAAUGAAGUGCGUUUUUUUUCAGUGUUCCAAUCCAAUUUUCAGUUUGAGCCCAGCAAAGAAUUUGUUCCAAUUAACGAUGAUGCAGUAAACUCGUCACCGGAACUAGUGGCUAGUUUAAAUUAAUUGGAUAGAAAUUCAUUGUUACUGAACGAAUUGAAUUGGAACAGUGUCUGGUUUCGUUUGCAAUUAGUCGGGGCGCAAUAGCUUGGCUAUAGUUGUUUAUUGUAGGAUAUGCGAAAUGAACGAUUCAAUGUGAUGGUUACCAAAUUAAGGAAAUUGAUGUUGAAAUCGAUUUACUAAGUAAACUAACUACGUAAAAGGUUUCAAGCUAGUUUGUAAGACGGUCCUGUACAGCUCCCAGCGAGAUGAUGCUAGCCUAUAAGAGAAACUUUCUUCAACGAUUCAUAUAUCCUAAAUAGAUAAAUUUUAUCGCGAGUGUAUGGAUAUUUAUGCAUGUUGAAUGAGUCAUUUCAUGGACAAAUAAAUCGAAAUUAAAUUUUCAUACGAAA